AAGCCAUAGCAUGGCAGUCGACGAGGUGGCCCAUUGAAGUUGGAGUGCUUGCCAAAAAUGGAUUUGGAUUUUCCACCUAGUGGCAAACGGGUGAGUAACACGUGGGUUACCUGCCCUUAAGUUGGGGAUAACAGUUGGAAACGAUUGCUAAUACCGAAUGUGCUCUUCGGAGUAAAGAAGCCCUUAAAGCUUCGCUUAAGGAUGGGCCUGCGGUGCAUUAGCUUGUUGGUGGGGUAAUGGCCUACCAAGGCAACGAUGCAUAGCCGAACUGAGAGGUUGAUCGGCCACACUGGGACUGAGACACGGCCCAGACUCCUACGGGAGACAGCAGUUAGGAAUAUUCGUCAAUGGGGGAAACCCUGAACGAGCAAUGCCGCGUGAGUGAUGAAGGCCCUCUGGGUUGUAAAACUCUGUUGUUCGGAAAGAAUUGUGAGAUUAGGAAAUGAGUCUUACUUGACGGUACCAUUCAAGAAAGCCACGGCUAACUACGUGCCAGCAGCCGCGGUAAUACGUAGGUGGCGAGCGUUAUCCGGAUUUAUUGGGCGUAAAGCGUGCGCAGGCGGUUUGUUAAGUCUAAAAUCAAAGCCCGAAGCUUAACUUCGGUUCGUUUUAGAAACUGGCAGGCUUGAGUAUGGUAGAGGCAAACGGAAUUUCUAGUGUAGCGGUAAAAUGCGUAGAUAUUAGAAGGAACACCAGUGGCGAAGGCGGUUUGCUGGGCCAUUACUGACGCUCAUGCACGAAAGCGUGGGG
rnacentral:rRNA from 1 species